GACGAACGCUGGCGGCGGGCUUAACACAUGCAAGUCGAACGGAAAGGCCCUGCUUUUGUGGGGUGCUCGAGUGGCGAACGUGUGAGUAACACGUGAGUAACCUUCCCUUUACUUUGUGAUAACUGCAGGAGACUGGUGCUAAUACCUGAUAGGAGCUCCUGCUGCAUGGUGGGGGUUGGACAUUUUAGGCUGUUGUGGAUGUACUCGCGGCUUAUCAGCUUGUUGGUGGGGUAGUGGCUUACCAAGGCUUUGACGGGUAGCCGGCCUGAGAGGGUGAACGGCGACAUUGGGACUGCGAUACGGCGCAGACUCCUAUGGGAGGCAGCAGUGGGGAAUCUUGCCCAAUGGGAGGACGUCUGAUGCAGAAACGCCGCGUGCGGGAUGCCGGCCUUCGGGUUGUAAACCGCAUUAGCCUGUGACGAAGCGUGAGUGACGGUAAUGGGUAAAGAAGCACCGGCUAACUACGUG
rnacentral:rRNA from 1 species